rnacentral:lncRNA from 1 species
AUUGAUGGUGUUAAUAGGAAUGAUUAUUGUAAUAUCAUUAUGAAUGAUACUAUAAUAAUGAGUAGAUAAUUAAAAAUGAUAUAAACUCAGUACCAUAGCCUGUUAGUAUAAAGUAUACUUCUAACUAGCAUCCUAGAUUAGAUAAUGUCACUGAAGUCUGCCUUUGAUAUUGUUGACUUAGUCACCUUUUAUUGGAAAGGAUGAAUGAGUGAGCGAUGUUCUAAGUUUGGUACAUGUUGAUGUAUUUACACUCAUGAACAU